rnacentral:rRNA from 1 species
GACGAACGCUGGCGGCGUGCUUAACACAUGCAAGUCGAACGGAAAGGCCCUGCUUUUGUGGGGUGCUCGAGUGGCGAACGGGUGAGUAACACGUGAGUAACCUGCCCUUGACUUUGGGAUAACUUCAGGAAACUGGGGCUAAUACCGGAUAGGAGCUCUUGCUGCAUGGUGGGGGUUGGAAAGUUUCGGCGGUUGGGGAUGGACUCGCUGCUUAUCAGCUUGUUGGUGGGGUAGUGGCUUACCAAGGCUUUGACGGGUAGCCGGCCUGGGAGGGUGACCGGACACACUGGGACGGAGAUACGGCCCAGACUACUACGGGAGGCAGCAGUGGAGAAUGGAACACGAUGGGCGGAAGCCUAAUGCGGCAACGCCGCGUGCGGGAUGACGGCCUUGGGGUAGGAGACCGCAUUCGCCUGUGACGCAGCGUGAAUGACGGUAAUGGGUGAAGAAGCACCGGCUAACUACGUG